rnacentral:rRNA from 1 species
UAGGGAAUCUUCCGCAAUGGGCGAAAGCCUGACGGAGCAACGCCGCGUGAGUGAUGAAGGUCUUCGGAUCGUAAAACUCUGUUAUUAGGGAAGAACAAAUGUGUAAGUAACUAUGCACGUCUUGACGGUACCUAAUCAGAAAGCCACGGCUAACUACGUGCCAGCAGCCGCGGUAAUACGUAGGUGGCAAGCGUUAUCCGGAAUUAUUGGGCGUAAAGCGCGCGUAGGCGGUUUUUUAAGUCUGAUGUGAAAGCCCACGGCUCAACCGUGGAGGGUCAUUGGAAACUGGAAAACUUGAGUGCAGAAGAGGAAAGUGGAAUUCCAUGUGUAGCAGUGAAAUGCGCAGAGAUAUGGAGGAACACCAGUGGCGAAGGCGACUUUCUGGUCUGUAACUGACGCUGAUGUGCGAAAGCGUGGGGAUCAAGCAGG